AUUGAACGCUGGCGGCAGGCCUAACACAUGCAAGUCGGGCGAGUGGCGGACGGGUGAGUAAUGUAUGGGGACCUGCCUGAUGGAGGGGGAUAACUACUGGAAACGGUAGCUAAUACCGCAUACCAUCAGAUGAAACCCUAUGGGAUUAGCUGGUGGGUAGGGUAACGGCUCACCAAGGCGACGAUCCCUAGCUGGUCUGAGCGGAUGAUCAGCCACACUGGGACUGAGACACGGCCCAGACUCCUACGGGAGGCAGCAGUGGGGAAUAUUGCACAAUGGGCGCAAGCCUGAUGCAGCCAUGCCGCGUGUAUGAAGAAGGCCUUCGGGUUGUAAAGUACUUUCAGUGGGGAGGCGUUACCGGCAGAAGAAGCACCGGCUAACUCCGUGCCAGCAGCCGCGGUAAUAC
rnacentral:rRNA from 1 species